rnacentral:lncRNA from 1 species
GAAAACAUUAUAAAAACUUGGACUAAUCAAAUACUCUCACCAAUUGGAAAAAUAACAGUGAUAAAAACACUUAUAAUAUCAAAAUUAAACCAUCUAUUCCUGUCCAUACCUAGUCCAAAUAGCACAAAGCUUAAACAUUUUACUGAAAAAAUAUUUUCCUUUAUCUGGGAUAACAAACCAGAUAAAGUCAAUAGAGACACCUUAUCCAAACCGCACUGUUUAGGAGG